GAGCAGCUGCGCCACCGGCUCAGCCUCGCGGCGGGGGAAACCCGAGCUCCCAACAAAACGGUUCCAUCUUUGGCUAGGCCUUUGGUAUUUCAAGGCGCUGCCGGUGGGGAGAGAUGCCGCGUGCCUGAGAGGCUCUGGGAGGCACCAAAGAAGGCCCAGAGAGGUUUAACAACUUCCUCAGAAUCACACAGCUUCCAAAUGGUUGGGUUGGGUUUACAUUUAGGCGGUCUUGCUCCAGAGCCAGUGCUCCUAACCUUUGCAAGCCACGAACCUCAAGAAAGUGGAGAAGGAAACGCUGGGAAAUCUGGAAGUCAGACAUGGCAAGUUUUUCUCACUGUAAGAAGAGGACAAUAGCCUAUGAUCUACAGUGCCCAUUCCAACUCAGAGAAUCUUUACAUCUGGAGAUCUAUAGCAGGGCUAUCCCUAGUGACAUGCGUGAAGAAGCUUGGAAAUGGUGCUGGGUAGGAGCUGAGUGUGCAGAAUGUGGAAAGGCAUUCUAAACCAAAGGAAGAACACGAGUAAAGAUGAUGAAGCAGGGAUAAGGCUAAAAUGAAAUUUGUGAUCUGAUCCACAUACAAGCACAGUGUAGUACAGCUGGAAUAUAGAGAAGAGCUUGAAGACUUAUGAGCAACUAUCCCGGUACUCUUGGAGGCUCUGCAACCACAGUUUGAGAAACUCCGCGUUCAAAGUUAAAAACUGUCACCUGAAUAGUUAAUAACAUCAAAGAUUGUGAAAGCAAGUAUAAAUAACACAGAGAUUAAAAUAAUGAGGCAGGAUCAGAAAGUGAGUGUUAUAUUUAUCUAUUUUUUCC
rnacentral:lncRNA from 10 species